rnacentral:snoRNA from 1 species
GUGAGGGCGGCUGUCGCUGCUGACAAGUGACGAAUACGUGGAGCCGA